rnacentral:rRNA from 1 species
AUUCCAGCUCCAAUAGCGUAUAUUAAAGUUGUUGCAGUUAAAAAGCUCGUAGUUGGAUUUCUGGCCGAGUGUCCCCAGGCCAGCAUGACGUUUGGUCCUGGGCGCUCUGCCAUCCUUCUGUCAACCUUCGCCUCGUUCAUUCGUGGCGCUGGGGCUCAGAUAUUUUGCCUUGAGAAAAUUAGAGUGUUUCAGGCAGGCUUUCGCCGGAAUACAUUAGCAUGGAAUAAUGGAAAAGGACUUCAACCUCUUCUGUUGGUUUGAGAGGCUGUAGUAAUGAUUAAUAGGGAUAGUUGGGGGUAUUCGUAUUCAAUUGUCAGAGGCGAAAUUCUUGGAUUUAUGGAAGACGAACUACUGCGAAAGCAUUUACCAAGGAUGUUUUCAUCA